UGCCCUUGUAGCUCAAUUGGCAGAGCAACUGACUCUUAAUCAGUAGGUUCUAGGUUCGAUUCCUAGCGGGGGCAU
rnacentral:tRNA from 1 species